rnacentral:lncRNA from 1 species
CAACAAUUUCCCUGAACGGUGUAGCAGGAAGGACUUCAGCAGAGCCAACAAGGAAUUCCCGAAAGUAAACUAAGUACCUGGACCCCCACAGCCCCAGCAAUGGACACAGGACACCAUUCUUGCGCUUCCUUCCCACCACAGACACAGACUUGCUCGUUCCAGUCUUCAAGCCCAGAAAUCCUACCACACCUGCUCAAGGCCAUUCCAAUUAUGGAACUCCUCCAGGAACUUUCCCAGUUGCACCUUCUUUGAAGGCCCACAGCAUGCUGCAGCCUCCUUGCAGCAUUUACCACACUCAGGAUCAUGUUAGUGAUUGUGCAUGUAUUGCCACCAAUGGACUGAGAGGACAAAAUACAGACUUUGACUCUGCCUCUCUUAUCAGUAACAUCAGUACUUGCUCAAUUUAAAUUCAGUUCCUAAUUGAUU